UUUUAAAAUUGAGGAUAAUUAUUCAAAUUGCAAUAAUGGAAUUUAUUUUCUUAUCUUUCAUAUCUUAGGUACAUAACUAAGAUUGAUGUGCUGAACCAAAGGAACAUAAUUAAAUCGCAUAUAUUAGUCACAGAACAGCUCACUCUUCCAACCCAACCGCCACCACCGCGUCCCACAGGAAACAUCCACAAAAUGGCCAACGCCUUCGCUUGCUGCUGUCUCCCGUCAGCCCCUCAUGACCUUUUAAAAUUUCAGCCUCUGAGGGAGAUGCAAUGAUCAGUGAGUAGACUGAAAAAAUGAAAAUAACACAAUUUAAAUAUAUACAAUAUACCGAAUAAAAAAGUAAAAGGUAAUUAUUUUAUUUAUGUA
rnacentral:lncRNA from 1 species